rnacentral:rRNA from 1 species
AUGGAGCUCUCGGCUAACAGCCGGGACCUAGCCUUCCAUCGCUCCUUAUCCCCUGUAGAGUUUGAAGUCUGGCAACGUCUUACUGCCUUCUUCCCCACGCUCUCGGAGAUUCCUGAUUCAGUGGUUUGGCCUCUUACGUCGUCUGGUCGCUUUUCGGUCAAGUCUUUAUACUCUAAGUUGAUUGGUGGUUCCCCCACCAAUAGAUUUUCUCAUAUUUGGCGGGCCCGUAUCCCCCCCAAAAUUAAGAUCUUCCUCUGGCAGGCCUUUAGAGGUCGUCUCCUCGUGGCCGACCAAAUUCGUAAGAGGAAUGGCCCGGGCUCGGAGUUCUGCUCCCUUUGUGGCGCUCUGGAAAGCACGAAUCAUAUAUUUUUUUCAUUGUGUACUGGCCAAGCUUGUGUGGAGCUGUGUAAGAUCUUGGCUCCAGGUCUCCAGGGACCCGUCUUCCUUUUCUGA